CAAAAUGUAGUUUAAAUCAAAACUUUUCGCUUACACCGAAAGAAAAUCUAAUAAUAUGGAUCAUUUUGA
rnacentral:tRNA from 1 species